UACCAUCCACUGAAAUGGGAUCAAAAUCGGGAAUAAAUUAUAUCAUAUUUUCACCAAUCAUGAUCAGAAAUCGAAAAAAUUCCAACAAUAAAAUGCUAUAAUCUGAUUGAAAUCAGCCAAUGAAAUCAGGCAUUUAAGAGAUCCUAAGACACGUCAAUCACUUUUCACACAGCUACUCAGCCAGAUGCCCCAAAGACUCGAAAGUGAAAGUAAAUCUUUUCGUUGGUUAUUUUUGGCGCAAUUCAACGUUCAACCGCGUGUCUUCGCCGCUGUGCUCCUUCGAAAGCGGACCUUGUCAUUAUAAAAACGACAGGAAAAGAUGCAAAUUGUCUCUUGCAAUUUGACUAUGAACAAUUAUGAAGAACUUUAUUACGAUUCGUAUUACGCAACCGAUUGCGUAUCCUAAAGUUAAAAAGUGAAACAAAAAAAAACGACUAGUUAUGGAAAGAAUUGGAAGAGAAUUAUAAAGAGAAGU